rnacentral:sRNA from 1 species
AUGUACCCACGUACACUCCGUUCCUCCGCGCCGUCCGCACCCACCUGACGGCUGCUCGCUGCGUUUUGUUAGCC